rnacentral:rRNA from 1 species
UACGUAGGGUGCAAGCGUUGUCCGGAAUUAUUGGGCGUAAAGAGCUCGUAGGCGGUUUGUCGCGUCUGCUGUGAAAACCCGAGGCUCAACCUCGGGCCUGCAGUGGGUACGGGCAGACUAGAGUGCGGUAGGGGAGAUUGGAAUUCCUGGUGUAGCGGUGGAAUGCGCAGAUAUCAGGAGGAACACCGAUGGCGAAGGCAGGUCUCUGGGCCACUACUGACGCUGAGGCGCGAAAGCGUGGGGAGCAAACAGG